CUUGGCCCCACCCCGCCCUUCUUCUGCCAGACUCCCUCCGGGUAUUUUUAGCGCCGGUGAUGAACGCGCGCGCGCGCUGUCAAAUCGUCACGUAACGGAAACGACCUCAGAGCUCCGACACGGACCUGCUGCGGACGGCCGCCUUCAUCUGACAGCCAAAACCCGCCAAUGACAAGAGAUUGGAAAUGAAUUUGGUGUUGUGCGUGGUCCUCCUCCUCACAGGCUCGUCACUGGCACGAGGUCAGAGAGCAACUCCACCUCCCGUUCUCACCUUGACUGUGCUCCCCAGUCAUGUUCUCUCAGAAGACCCUGGGAAUGAAUUCCCAUUCCAAAUACCUGAUGGAUCAUCACCAAAAACCACAAUCAGUACUCAGAUCAAAGCUGUUCCAGAUAGCCUUUCAUCCACGCCCAGCCAUACACAGCACAGCACCCUUGCAGUGCAGCUCCACUACUGAAAGCCCCGCAUUGCUGACCUCUUCAUCUCACUCGAUGCCUUCAUCGCACCCCACAAAGUCCCACAGCCUCACCCAGACCUGGCUGACUGCAGCCCCAACGCACUUGACACCAACAACUCACCCUCAGACCCUAAGUCCAGGCCAUGCCCCUGUGGGGCCAAACACCCCGGGACCUCCCUUCUGAGCUUAAUGUGGGAGAUGAAGACCUCAUGGGGCCCCGUGACCACUCCAAAUUCCCUCUUGAUCCCCUGCUUGCUGGACUGCUGUCAGUGUUCAUUGUGAUGACUGCUAUAGUCUUUGUUAUCCUCUUCCUGAGGUUUCGCCAGAGGUCCAGCCACCCAGAAUUCCACAGGCUGCAGGAUCUGCCCAUGGACAAUUUGAUGGAGGACACGCCUCUCUCUCAGUACACAUACUGAUGGGAGCAUCCAGCCACCUUGGAAAAGUGCACAGCUUCUGUGUGACUGACCAUGUUUGGUCAGUGAUUAAAAAUGCUUGUUUCUAUGUGAAGCUUUCUUAAAUUACAGAUUUUAGACUCUCUUUGACCUUAUGCCACAUUCCCUGUAAAUCUCUGGAGCUCGUGUUUGUUUCCAUGA